CUCAGGAAGGCAGGCCUGGUCAUGCCCCAGAGGACACCUGGGGGAGUGACGGGAUACCUCAGAGAGUCGAUGUGGUUUGUGCCCAGGUUGUGGGGAGGGAAGAGUAAAAACGGGAGCUGAGGAGAGAGUCAGCAGCAGGAAGUGAACGUUGUCCACAUCAAAAAGGUAAAAUGGAAUGUUCCCGUGGGCCUCCAGAAUCCAUGAGAGCACCACCUGGGAGGGAUCAGCUUUACACGUGGGUCAGGACAAAACCAUCCCAUAGGAGUGUCAGUCAGAGGAGGACACCGAGGCCCAGAGAGGGAAGGGGAUUUGCACUUGGCCACAGCUUGUGUUGGCGGCAGCUUAAAGACCGGUCUCUGGGAUCCCAGCAGGAUUAGCCCUGAGCUAACAUCUGCUGCCAGUCCUCCUCUUUUUGCUGAGGAAGACCGGCCCUGAGUCAACAUCCCCGCAACUCUUCCUCUACUUUAUAUGUGGGACACCUACCAUAGCAUGGCGUGCCAAGCGGUGCCGUGCCCGCACCCAGGAUCUGAACCAGCGAACCCCAGGCUGCCAAAGUGGAACAUGAAAACUUAACCACUGCACCAUUGGGCUGGCCCCUUAAGUUAUUUUUGUUGAGUUCAGUAUUUGUAAGAAUUUUACUAAAAUUUUAAAAUAAUCUUUCCCCAACAUGACAAAAAUCCUCCAAAAUGUUCACAUAUAGAAGUAUUUGAGUUUAGAAACCUACAAAUCUAAUCAUAAUUAUUAUCUGUGCUACAUACAUGCAUUAGGUAUUGACUCUAAAAUAACGAGUAAUAUUAAGCACUUCUUACCUUAUCCCAAAAUAUUUUUUUCAUGGCACCUGCUAACAUUAAAAAAAAAUCUUGUGUAUUUCAUCCCUUGAGUAACGUGUAAUAGUUUUUUGGUGCUGAUAUUUGAUUUCUGUAUAAAUGUUCUUCCACGAUGUUACUGAAUUUUGCCAAAUGAAUAAUAUUCUGAUUUCCACACUCUUAAAAUUGGGUGUCUGAAUGCUAGCUAUUGCCUCACCAAAACAGAAUCAUUUAUAUAAUGUUUUUAACAAGAGCACACCAAUAUCUUUUCCCAUUUUAUAUAGUCUCUCUUCUGCAGCACCACCUUUCGGGGUGUCCCAUAUAUCUCGGUUGCUCUUUUCUGUGUUUUCUCUCCUUUUUUUGCCUGUACUUUAAUCUCAAUACUUUCUGCUGCCUGUCUUCCAGUUCAUUAAACCUCUGUUCUGCUGUUUCCAAUCUGCUAUUAAUCCCAUCAAAUGAAUUCUUUUUUAAUAACAACUUGAUUGAAGUACUAUACAUACAAUAAACUGUACCUAUUCAAAGUGUAAAAUUUGAUGAGUUUAGACAUAUGUAUACAUCCAUGAAAACACCACCAUAAUCAAGACUCAGAUCGUUCUCAUCACCCUCAAAAGUUUCUUUGUGCCUCUUUACCUCUCGUUUUUCUCUCCACAUCUGGUCCCAGGCAACCACUGAUCUGCUGUCAUUAUAGAUUAGUUUGCAUUUUCUUGAAUUUUAUAUGGAAUUAUACAGUACGUAUUCUUUUGUUUUUGGCUUCUUUCUCUCAGUAUAAUGAUUUUGAGAUUUGUCUACAUUGUUUAGUGUGUUGGUGAUUCAUCCCUUUUAAUUGCUGGGUAGUAUUCCAUUUCACGGAUUUAAUGCAUUUUUGUUCAUCCAUUCACCUGUUGAUGGGUAUUUGGGUUGUUUCCAGCUUUUUGAUACUGUGAAUAAAGCUGCUAUAAAUAUUCUUUUCCAAGUCUUGGUGUGGACAUAUGUUUUCAUUUCUCUUAGGUAAAUACUUAUGUGAUAGUUUUUUUUUAGGUGUUAACUUUUUGAAGUGAAUAACUUGUCCUCAGUUAUUCUACACUAUUCAACACUAAUCUAAGUGCUGCUAUGAAGGCAUUUUUUGUAGAUAUGAUUAAAGUCCAUAAUUGGUUGACUUUAAGUAAGGGAUAUUAUCCUGGAUAAUCUGGUUGGGCCUGAUUUAACCAGUGAAAAGUCCUGAAAAGCAGAGUUCAGGUUCUCCCGAAGAAGAACUUCUGCCUUGGGACAGCAGCUUCAGCCCUUGCCUGAGUCUCAACCUGAUCUUCCUGAUAGCCCGUCCUAUGGAUUUCAGAUUUGCUUAACCAGUCCUCCUCCCCAC
ensembl:lncRNA